UAAUAAUAAAUAUUUUGAAGAAAAAUGUUUUCUCAGUGCUGACAGAGAGAAGCUGCAGAAAGGGGGAAGAGCAGUAACAGAAACAUGUGGCAUCCAGUGAUCUCAAUGGGAGGAGCCUGGAGGAUGCGAGCUCCAGUUUCAGAAGAGAGAAGAGAGACCCUUUUGACAAGCUGCAGCCCUUCUCCAGCCAGACAAAAUGAGUGGUGUUGGAGUCCUGCAGGCUGGCUCUGGGUCUUACCCUGGGACAGGAAAAUGUGGAUGGAAAUGGGACCUGCAGAUCCUGUGCAGAUGGGCCUGAAAGCAUAAAACUUCCUUCUACACCAGUACUUGCAACCAAAAUCUCCCUGACCACCACUAGCCACACAUCAACCUGUCUUUUCAGAACCAUUUGCAGCACUUUCUUGUUAAAAUUUGUUUUCUUACUCAAGCUGGCAGCUAAGGGUUUGGUGUUUCUGAUGCAAAU
rnacentral:lncRNA from 1 species